GGAGGUGUACAGCAGUAAUGCCUAGCCGACCGGUACUAAUAGGCCGAGGGCUUGUCCCACAA
rnacentral:rRNA from 1 species